AAUCCAUAGGUUAAUGAGGCGAACCGGGGGAACUGAAACAUCUAAGUACCCCGAGGAAAAGAAAUCAACCGAGAUUCCCCCAGUAGCGGCGAGCGAACGGGGAGGAGCCCAGAGCCUGAAUCAGCAUGUGUGUUAGUGGAAGCGUCUGGAAAGGCGCGCGAUACAGGGUGACAGCCCCGUACACAAAAGCGCAUGUGCUGUGAGCUCGAUGAGUAGGGCGGGACACGUGGUAUCCUGUCUGAAUAUGGGGGGACCAUCCUCCAAGGCUAAAUACUCCUGACUGACCGAUAGUGAACCAGUACCGUGAGGGAAAGGCGAAAAGAACCCCGGCGAGGGGAGUGAAAAAGAACCUGAAACCGUGUACGUACAAGCAGUGGGAGCACCCUUCGGGGUGUGACUGCGUACCUUUUGUAUAAUGGGUCAGCGACUUAUAUUCUGUAGCAAGGUUAACCGUAUAGGGGAGCCGGAGGGAAACCGAGUCUUAAUUGGGCGUUAAGUUGCAGGGUAUAGACCCGAAACCCGGUGAUCUAGCCAUGGGCAGGUUGAAGGUUGGGUAACACUAACUGGAGGACCGAACCGACUAAUGUUGAAAAAUUAGCGGAUGACCUGUGGCUGGGGGUGAAAGGCCAAUCAAACCGGGAGAUAGCUGGUUCUCCCCGAAAGCUAUUUAGGUAGCGCCUCGUGAAUUCAUCUCCGGGGGUAGAGCACUGUUUCGGCUAGGGGGCCAUCCCGGCUUACCAACCCGAUGCAAACUGCGAAUACCGGAGAAUGUUAUCACGGGAGACACACGGCGGGUGCUAACGUCCGUCGUGAAGAGGGAAACAACCCAGACCGCCAGCUAAGGUCCCAAAGUCAUGGUUAAGUGGGAAACGAUGUGGGAAGGCCCAGACAGCCAGGAUGUUGGCUUAGAAGCAGCCAUCAUUUAAAGAAAGCGUAAUAGCUCACUGGUCGAGUCGGCCUGCGCGGAAGAUGUAACGGGGCUAAACCAUGCACCGAAGCUGCGGCAGCGAACGUAUCACCCAAGACAACUUUACGGAGUUGACGAUUGACGGAGCGAAGCGACGUCAAAGCGUUCAUUAAAGUCGAGUUGGCUUAGGGAUACGUUCGUUGGGUAGGGGAGCGUUCUGUAAGCCUGUGAAGGUGUGUCGUGAGGCAUGCUGGAGGUAUCAGAAGUGCGAAUGCUGACAUAAGUAACGAUAAAGCGGGUGAAAAGCCCGCUCGCCGGAAGACCAAGGGUUCCUGUCCAACGUUAAUCGGGGCAGGGUGAGUCGACCCCUAAGGCGAGGCCGAAAGGCGUAGUCGAUGGGAAACGGGUUAAUAUUCCCGUACUUGGUGUUACUGCGAAGGGGGGACGGAGAAGGCUAUGUUGGCCGGGCGACGGUUGUCCCGGUUUAAGCGUGUAGGUGUGUGUUCCAGGUAAAUCCGGUUCACUUUAACACUGAGGCGUGACGACGAGGCACUACGGUGCUGAAGCAACAAAUGCCCUGCUUCCAGGAAAA
rnacentral:rRNA from 3 species